UUUGUUUUCUCCAUUUGGUUACUAAAUGGAAAGUUGAGCCAAUCACCUGACUAAAUAGAUGCUCAAUUACAGAGCUUUCUAGACACGCCCAAUUGGAGCUCUAGCUGUGUUUGGUCUUAAGAAAGAAACAAGGGGCCUUCCUGCCUGAGCUGUCCUGGGCCCAAGCUCCCCCAACACUCAGUCCUUUUCUAGGCUCUCUUGGCGAAGGUGUAGAUCAGUUCCAUAUUCUCUUGGUAAGAUGAUGGGGAUAGGCAUGCUUUGGAGGGACAGAAGCAGAACAGGGAACCCACUGGGCGGUCCUGCUGCUUGGAAGGAAGAGGGAAAGAACAAUCUACCACAGGCUUAUGUGAAACUUCCCCAGGGGCCUCCUAAAAACCUUGGGUGGCUGUUCUAGAUUCUUUUCUUUCUUUUUCUUUUCUUUUUUUUUUUUUUUUUGUUUGUUUGUUCAAGACAGGAUUUCUCCACAUAGCCCCGGUUGACCUGGAACUUGCUGUGUAGAUCAGGAUGGCCUCCAAGUCUCUACCUCUCAACUGAUGGGAUGAAAGGAGUACAUUCCACCAGGACUGGAAGCAAGAACAGAAAAGUUUUAGUUUUUGGAGAACAAGGUGCAGAAUUCAGGAAAAAAAAUCUAAAUAUACAUAUAACAAAUAGAGCCCCUAGAGCAGAAAUUCUUUGUUAGUAGCCUGUGACUUUUGUCAGGGGUUUUCAUGAACCUCUAAAAUUAAGUGGAAAAUCUUGCAUUGAUGUGCAUAGACUGUGUCCUUACUGUAUAUCACAUUUGGAAAGGUUCUGCAAGCUUCAAAAAACUGGAUCACGAUUUGCCUAGGACAGCACUCACGAAUGACAGCUUUGCAAAGCGGGAGCCAGUGCCCGAUACUGAACCGAAUCCAGCUGGCCUGAGCACCUGACUCCACGACUGCUCCCCCCACAGCCACAGACUCCGCUGACUCUAUUUUUAAGAGAUAAGUCCAAAGGGUGUUAUUAUUCUCUGUCUCGAAGCACAGCCUGGGGUAGAGUGGAUAGACUGGGAAAAGAGCCUCUCAUAGUGACUCACCAUCACCCUCUCCUGAGUAAUGGUCUGCGGUCUCCAUCACUCACUCUUGCCAACACAUUGGAACAGACACAGUUGGGCCUGAGCCAGCAGCUGAAGGAUCCAGCAGAUGAGACGUCAUCACCUGGGUGUCCCUGGACAGAGAUGCUGGCUGUACCUGGAGAUGAACUCUGAGGUUGGUCUGACUUCAACCCUGAAGCUGCUGUGAUGGAGGUGACUGUCUGUGGGAGAAUCCAGGUGGAGGGAGAGGAAGUGGUGGCAGAUGGCAAGAAUAAGCCACGGCAGCCAUGUUGUACUGAUGGAAACACUAAAGAUUUAACAGAAGGCGGGAACAUGGCACACAAGUAGAUCUGCCUUGGGACAACGACGCAUGGAAAAUUUGACUGCAGCGCAUAUAAAGCCCUGACUAGCUCAGCAUGCCAAUGUGGCAUUGGCUGUUUAAUCAAAGGAGAUUAAAUGCAGAUAUUCUGCUUGCUCUUCAUUAAACAGCUUUGAGUGAAAGGUUAUAUGACACCCACGUUCACAGCCUCAGAUCUUUCUCCAGGUCCAUAAUAAUAACUUAUCAUCAAAUGAGCAGGAAAAUAACUCAGCUUCCAUACAGGGCAGAGUGGAACAGGCUGCUGCAAGUAUUCUUGCUCAGGGCAAUAUCCUUUAAGCAAGUUCUCAAUCAGGGAAAUUGGGCACGUGAUGACUGGCUGAGGACAGACUGCCCUGCCCUAGAAGCUUGGAAG